rnacentral:lncRNA from 1 species
CCAUCGAUAUCACCGAAUCAUUAAAAAGCCAUGUCAACAACUAAACAAAAGUGUGAUCAACCAUUAAAAAAGAUUCUACAACCUAGACAAAGUAGGACCGUCUAAAUCCUCUCUGUCUUCUUCCCUUUUGCUAUCUGCUGUCCACUCAUAGAUUGUGACAUCGCCAUGUCUCGGAGACCAUUGCCCUUUGCAAGGCACAUUGAAGCCAAGGUCCUCGUUGUCGUCGUUCUGCCUCUUUGACAAUGGGGCCUUGAUCAACUCCACGGUCAUCUUCUCGAGUGCAGGCGCGCCUGUGAUCAUAAGCUGCACGAGGCUCCGGUGGUAGCUUGAUGAUCGAAAUCCGGUGAUCUUUGCCUCUCGGAGGUGUUCCAGAGAGAUAGUUGGGUCAUCUUCCUGGUUGCAGAGGCAACCAGAUCUUAAGCAUGAAUCGUUCUGCAAAUAGGAUCAAGACAAACAAAAGUGCUAAGGGCUGGGUUUGGUGGACGAAAAACUUAAGAUAGUUCAUAUAUAAAUGUUAUAUUUCUCAUGUAUAUCCCUCCUGUAAUCUUGCCGCAGACUCGAUGUCAAUGGAGAGGCAUUGAACUCUGCUACAUUUUGCGACAAGCCUGGCUAUGGUCGCUUUAAGUUCGUGCCACCGUCCGGCAUCCACAUUGAUGGUCAAGUUGGUGAUGUUGUGAAGAAGUGGUACACAGUUCAUCAUCUCCUUUAAGUCCUUAUCCUCUAUUCUCCGGCAUGAUGUCU